rnacentral:rRNA from 1 species
ACCGGCGGCUCGAGUGGUGGCCACUAUUACUGGGCUUAAAGCGUUCGUAGCUGGCUUGUUAAGUCUCUGGGGAAAUCUUCCGGCUCAACCGGAAGGCGUCUCAGGGAUACUGGCAGGCUAGGGACAGGUAGAGGUGAGAGGUACUCCAGGGAUAGCAUUGAAACCCAAUAAUCCUUAGGGGACCUCCUGUGACGAAGGCGUCUCACCAGGAUUACUCCCACAGUUAGCCACUAAAGCUGGGGUCGCAAACCG